rnacentral:rRNA from 1 species
GUGACAAGCUACUAAGGGCAUAUGGUGGAUGCCUUGGCACCAAGAGCCGAAGAAGGUCGUAGGAGCCUGCGAUAAGCCCCGGGAAGUUGGCAACCGAGCUGUGAUCCGGGGAUGACCGAAUGGGGAAACCCAGCUGGAGUCAUGUCCAGUUACCGACGCCUGAACACAUAGGGCGAUCGGAGGGAACGUGGGGAAGUGAAACAUCUCAGUACCCACAGGAAGAGAAAACAACCGUGAUUCCGUAAGUAGUGGCGAGCGAACGCGGAAGAGGCUAAACCGCACAGGUGUGACAGCCGGCAGGCGUUGCCUGUGUGGGGUUGUGGGGCCGCUUGGUUGGAUCUGCCGAUCCAACAGAGAGUAAGAAACCGUUGCUGAAGUCGAACAGUGCUGGAAAGCCUGGGCGCAGAGGGUGAUACCCCCGUACACGAAAGGCAACGGCUCUCGAGCGUUACCCCGAGUAAUACGGAACCCCUGAAAUUCCGUAUGAAUCCGUCGGGACCACCCGAUAAGCCUAAAUACUCCUUGGUGACCGAUAGCGGACAAGUACCGUGAGGGAAAGGUGAAAAGUACCCCAGGCGGGGAGUGAAAUAGUACCUGAAACCAUAUGCCUACAAACCGUUGGAGCAGUUCUUCGGAACUGUGACAGCGUGCCUUUUGAAGAAUGAGCCUGCGAGUUAGUGGUACGUGGCGAGGUUAACCCGGGUGGGGAAGCCGUAGCGAAAGCGAGUCCAAAUAGGGCGAUUCAGUCGCGUGCUCUAGACCCGAAGCGGAGUGAUCUACCCAUGGGCAGGGUGAAGCGCCGGUAAGACGACGUGGAGGCCCGAACCCACCAGGGUUGAAAACCUGGGGGAUGACCUGUGGGUAGGGGUGAAAGGCCAAUCAAACUCCGUAAUAGCUGGUUCUCCCCGAAAUGCAUUUAGGUGCAGCGUCGCGUGUUUCUUACCGGAGGUAGAGCACUGGAUGGUCUAGGGGGCCUAUCAGCUUACCGAAAUCAGCCAAACUACGAAUGCCGGUAAGUGAGAGCGCGGCAGUGAGACUGCGGGGGAUAAGCUCCGUGGUCGAGAGGGAAACAGCCCAGAUCAUCAGCUAAGGCCCCUAAGCGAUUGCUAAGUGGAAAAGGAUGUGAAGUCGCAGAGACAACCAGGAGGUUGGCUUAGAAGCAGCCACCCUUGAAAGAGUGCGUAAUAGCUCACUGGUCAAGUAAUUUUGCGCCGACAAUGUAGCGGGGCUCAAGCAAUCCGCCGAAGCUAUGACAUUUACACAUGUACUCGGCGUCACUUCGGUGACGUCCAGGUGUGUGGAUGGGUAGGGGAGCGUCGUGUGGCGAGAGAAGCGGCGGAGUGAUCCAGCCGUGGAUGCCACACGAGUGAGAAUGCAGGCAUGAGUAGCGAAAGAAGGGUGAGAAACCCUUCCGCCGAAUGACCAAGGGUUCCAGGGUCAAGCUAAUCUGCCCUGGGUAAGUCGGGACCUAAGGCGAGGCCGAGAGGCGUAGUCGAUGGACAACGGGUUGAUAUUCCCGUACCGGUUCUGGCGCGACCAUGACGAACCCAGCGAUGCUAAGUGCCCGAAUCCGAUGAGGUCUUCGGACCGAAUUGGAGGAACGCACGACCCAAGCUGGUAGUAGUCAAGCGAUGGGGUGACGCAGGAAGGUAGCCCAACCACGGCGAUGGUUGUCCGUGGGUAAGGCCGCAGGGCUGGCAUAGGUAAAUCCGUGCCAACAAGCCCGAGAGCUGACACCGAGCCGACUUAGGCGAAGUGGGUGAUCCUAUGCUGUCGAGAAAAGCCUCUAGCGAGCUCCAGAGCCGCCCGUACCCCAAACCGACUCAGGUGGUCAGGUAGAGAAUACCAAGGCGAUCGAGAUAACCAUGGUUAAGGAACUCGGCAAAAUACCCCCGUAACUUCGGGAGAAGGGGGGCCUGAACCGUGAAGGCACUAGCUGCCGGCAGCGGUGAAGGCCGCAGAGACCAGGCCCAAGCGACUGUUUACUAAAAACACAGGUCCGUGCUAAGUCGAAAGACGAUGUAUACGGACUGACGCCUGCCCGGUGCUGGAACGUUAAGGGGACGUGUUAGUGGACUUCGGUCCGCGAAGCGCUGAACUUAAGCGCCAGUAAACGGCGGUGGUAACUAUAACCAUCCUAAGGUAGCGAAAUUCCUUGUCGGGUAAGUUCCGACCUGCACGAAUGGCGUAACGACUCGGGCGCUGUCUCAACCAUGGACUCGGCGAAAUUGCACUACGAGUAAAGAUGCUCGUUACGCGCGGCAGGACGGAAAGACCCCGGGACCUUUACUACAGCUUGGUAUUGGUGUUUGGUUCGGCUUGUGUAGGAUAGGUGGGAGACUUUGAAGCAUGGACGCCAGUUCGUGUGGAGUCAACGUUGAAAUACCACUCUGGUCGUACUAGAUAUCUAACCUAGGUCCGUGAUCCGGAUCAGGGACAGUGCCUGGUGGGUAGUUUAACUGGGGCGGUUGCCUCCUAAAAGGUAACGGAGGCGCCCAAAGGUUCCCUCAGCCUGGUUGGCAAUCAGGUGUUGAGUGCAAGUGCACAAGGGAGCUUGACUGUGAGAGAGACAUCUCAAGCAGGGACGAAAGUCGGGACUAGUGAUCCGGCGCUGGCAUGUGGAAGCGGCGUCGCUCAACGGAUAAAAGGUACCCCGGGGAUAACAGGCUGAUCCUCCCCAAGAGUCCAUAUCGACGGGAUGGUUUGGCACCUCGAUGUCGGCUCGUCGCAUCCUGGGGCCGGAGUAGGUCCCAAGGGUUGGGCUGUUCGCCCAUUAAAGCGGCACGCGAGCUGGGUUUAGAACGUCGUGAGACAGUUCGGUCCCUAUCCGCCGCGCGCGCAGGAAACUUGAGAAGGCCUGUCCCUAGUACGAGAGGACCGGGAUGGACGAACCUCUGGUGUGCCAGUUGUUUCGCCAGAAGCACGGCUGGUUAGCUACGUUCGGCAGUGAUAACCGCUGAAAGCAUCUAAGCGGGAAGCACGCUUCAAGAUGAGGUUUCCCACUGGUUAACCAGGUAAGGCCCCCAGCAGAUCACUGGGUACAUAGGCCGGAAGUCGAAGGCAGUAAUGUACGAAGCUGACCGGUACUAAUAGGCCGAGGGCUUGUCCUACA